rnacentral:rRNA from 1 species
AUUAUUGGACAAUGGGGGAAACCCUGCUCCAGCCAUGCCGCGUGUGUGAAAAAGUUCUUCGGAUCUUAAAGAACUUUAAGUGGGGAGGAAGGGCUUUAGAUUAAUACCCUGAUGUUUUGACGUUACCAACAGAAUAAGCACUGCCGACAUCUGUGCAAGCAGCCGCGGUAAUACAGAGGUUGCAAGCGUUAAUCGGAAUUACUGGGCGUAAAGCGCGCGUAGGUGGUUCAGUAAGAUGGGUGUGAAAUCCCCGGGCUUAACCUGGGAACUGCUUUCAUAACUGCUGAGCUAGAGUAAGGUAGAGGGUAGUGGAAUUUCCUGUGUAGCGGUGAAAUGCGUAGAUAUAGGAAGGAAAACCAGUGGCGAAGGCGACUACCUGGACUGAUACUGACACUGAGGUGCGAAAGCGUGGGGAGCAAAC